rnacentral:snRNA from 1 species
AACUUUGCGCAGAGGCAAUAUCGUAACCAAUGAGGUUUAUCCGAGGUGCGAUUAUUGCUAGUUGAAAACUUUACCAAUACCCCGCCAUGUGGACGUGAAAUACCGUCCAAUAUGGCACUUUUUGAAAGGCCGUUGAGGC